rfam:Nomascus leucogenys chromosome 14, whole genome shotgun sequence.
GCUGGGUGUGGUGGUGCACACCCGUAAUCCCAGCUACUUGGGAGGCUGAGACAGGAGAAUCACUUGAUUCUGGGAGACGAGGGCUGCAGUGAGCCGAGAUCAUGCCACUGCACUUCAGCCUGGGUGACAGAGUGAGACUCCGUCUCAA